rnacentral:sRNA from 1 species
UGAUUGAAUGGUGAAAUUCAGUGCGUG